rnacentral:rRNA from 1 species
CCUACGGGAGGCAGCAGUGAGGAAUAUUGGUCAAUGGCCGAGAGGCUGAACCAGUCAAGUCGCGUGAGGGAAGACGGCCCUACGGGUUGUAAACCUCUUUUGUCCAGGAGCAAAGAGAGUCACGUGUGACUCAUUGAGAGUACCCGAAGAAAAAGCAUCGGCUAACUCCGUGCCAGCAGCCGCGGUAAUACGGAGGAUGCGAGCGUUAUCCGGAUUUAUUGGGUUUAAAGGGUGCGUAGGCGGAGGAGCAAGUCAGCGGUCAAAUUGCGGGGCUCAACCCCGUACUGCCGUUGAAACUGUAGCUCGUGAGUGCGCGAGAAGUAUGCGGAAUGCGUGGUGUAGCGGUGAAAUGCAUAGAUAUCACGCAGAACUCCGAUUGCGAAGGCAGCAUACCGGCGCGCAACUGACGCUGAUGCACGAAAGCGUGGGGAUCGAACAGGAUUAGAUACCCUUGUAGUC